AUUGGGGUGGCAGAGCCAGGCACAAAUGCGAAAGACCUAAGCCCUUUAUUCAGGGGUUCAACUCCCCUCCCCAAUC
rnacentral:tRNA from 1 species